CACUUUCAACAACGGAUCUCUUGGUUCUGGCAUCGAUG
rnacentral:rRNA from 1 species